GACGAACGCUGGCGGCGUGCCUAAUACAUGCCAGUCGAACGAGAGCGACCGGUGCUUGCACUGGUCAAUCUAGUGGCGAACGGGUGAGUAACACGUGGGUAACCUGCCCAUCAGAGGGGGAUAACAUCCGGAAACGGAUGCUAAAACCGCAUAGGUCUUCGAGCCGCAUGGCUUGAAGAGGAAAAGAGGCGCAAGCUUCUGCUGAUGGAUGGACCCGCGGUGCAUUAGCUAGUUGGUGAGGUAACGGCUCACCAAGGCCGUGAUGCAUAGCCGACCUGAGAGGGUGAUCGGCCACAUUGGGACUGAGACACGGCCCAAACUCCUACGGGAGGCAGCAGUAGGGAAUCUUCCGCAAUGGACGCAAGUCUGACUGAGCAACGCCGCGUGAGUGAAGAAGGUUUUCGGAUCGUAAAACUCUGUUGUUAGAGAAGAACAAGUGCUAGAGUAACUGUUAGCGCCUUGACGGUAUCUAACCAGAAAGCCACGGCUAACUACGUG
rnacentral:rRNA from 1 species